AUGACUCCUGAUGCCAGGAAGAUCGACGUCGCCAAGGUGCAACGCCUCCCCGACGGAGAUGUCAUUCCAGCAUCAGGUAGAAGGGCUCGGUACCGCGCGGCUGCGCCAAAGAGGCGCCCGCGGCCCUGUGAAGUGGCAUGCCCUGCGCGCUCCGAAGACAGCCGUGGAAGAUCCCCACCACCCUCCCCACGCACCACGUCCCGCGACAUCAUCGAGCUGAGACCCUCUUCGGCAAUUCCGGACUGGCUGUAUCGUGUUGCCCCGUGCCUGGGCUUGCAGGUGUGUCCUGAGGCUCCUCCAGGUUGGGCUGGGCACUCUUCCAGGCAACAAAGCUCCAGCCCUACACCUCCAAGUCCACGCACGCCUCUGCAUCUUCCUGCUUCGGUGACAGAACCUGACACUGACCUGGUUGUGGCGAGCGCAACGUCUGCUCCUGGCCAUGAUGCUCCGCAGGCCCUGGGUGACCCGGUGGGCACUCCUCUCUUCAUGCAUCGGCCUCCUGCGAUCCUACCAACGCCCAGCUCAACCCCACCAACGCCUCCAGUUGCAAGGAGGAAGACUCUCGCGGGAGUCACUGGUCUGCACCUGAUUCGCAGCAGCCCACGGCUUCAGGCGAAGAACAGAGACAUGCCCAUCGCUCUGCUGGCAGAAAGACUGCUUUGCCAACGUAUGGGUGUGGUGGAAGAAGGCGAGAUGGUCACUGAAGCAGCCAUCUCCAAAUUUGUGGCUCUCUUCCGUGGCCAACUGCCGGACAUUGCUGUUGCUGCUCUACGCGCCCUCUUCAGACUCGACUGUGACCUCGCCUCUGCCGUUGAAGACGCGCUGAUAGACCACGGUGGAGAUGCUGGCCCGGAGAUUCAAGGCCUGGGCGGGGAAGAUGCCACAACAUCUGCCUGA
rnacentral:rRNA from 1 species